CUAUACAUGCAGUCGACGAACUCUGGUAUUGAUUGGUGCUUGCAUCAUGAUUUACAUUUGAGUGAGUGGCGAACUGGUGAGUAACACGUGGGAAACCUGCCCAGAAGCGGGGGAUAACACCUGGAAACAGAUGCUAAUACCGCAUAACAACUUGGACCGCAUGGUCCGAGUUUGAAAGAUGGCUUCGGCUAUCACUUUUGGAUGGUCCCGCGGCGUAUUAGCUAGAUGGUGGGGUAACGGCUCACCAUGGCAAUGAUACGUAGCCGACCUGAGAGGGUAAUCGGCCACAUUGGGACUGAGACACGGCCCAAACUCCUACGGGAGGCAGCAGUAGGGAAUCUUCCACAAUGGACGAAAGUCUGAUGGAGCAACGCCGCGUGAGUGAAGAAGGGUUUCGGCUCGUAAAACUCUGUUGUUAAAGAAGAACAUAUCUGAGAGUAACUGUUCAGGUAUUGACGGUAUUUAACCAGAAAGCCACGGCUAACUACGUGCCAGCAGCCGCGGUAAUACGUAGGUGGCAAGCGUUGUCCGGAUUUAUUGGGCGUAAAGCGAGCGCAGGCGGUUUUUUAAGUCUGAUGUGAAAGCCUUCGGCUCAACCGAAGAAGUGCAUCGGAAACUGGGAAACUUGAGUGCAGAAGAGGACAGUGGAACUCCAUGUGUAGCGGUGAAAUGCGUAGAUAUAUGGAAGAACACCAGUGGCGAAGGCGGCUGUCUGGUCUGUAACUGACGCUGAGGCUCGAAAGUAUGGGUAGCAAACAGGAUUAGAUACCCUGGUAGUCCAUACCGUAAACGAUGAAUGCUAAGUGUUGGAGGGUUUCCGCCCUUCAGUGCUGCAGCUAACGCAUUAAGCAUUCCGCCUGGGGAGUACGGCCGCAAGGCUGAAACUCAAAGGAAUUGACGGGGGCCCGCACAAGCGGUGGAGCAUGUGGUUUAAUUCGAAGCUACGCGAAGAACCUUACCAGGUCUUGACAUACUAUGCAAAUCUAAGAGAUUAGACGUUCCCUUCGGGGACAUGGAUACAGGUGGUGCAUGGUUGUCGUCAGCUCGUGUCGUGAGAUGUUGGGUUAAGUCCCGCAACGAGCGCAACCCUUAUUAUCAGUUGCCAGCAUUAAGUUGGGCACUCUGGUGAGACUGCCGGUGACAAACCGGAGGAAGGUGGGGAUGACGUCAAAUCAUCAUGCCCCUUAUGACCUGGGCUACACACGUGCUACAAUGGAUGGUACAACGAGUUGCGAACUCGCGAGAGUAAGCUAAUCUCUUAAAGCCAUUCUCAGUUCGGAUUGUAGGCUGCAACUCGCCUACAUGAAGUCGGAAUCGCUAGUAAUCGCGGAUCAGCAUGCCGCGGUGAAUACGUUCCCGGGCCUUGUACACACCGCCCGUCACACCAUGAGAGUUUGUAACACCCAAAGUCGGUGGGGUAACCUUUUAGGAACCAGCCGCCUAA
rnacentral:rRNA from 1 species